rnacentral:rRNA from 1 species
AAAAGCAGGGGAUCGCAAGACCUUGCGCUCUUGGAGCGGCCGAUGUCUGAUUAGCUAGUUGGUGAGGUAAAGGCUUACCAAGGCGACGAUCAGUAGCUGGUCUGAGAGGACGACCAGCCACACUGGGACUGAGACACGGCCCAGACUCCUACGGGAGGCAGCAGUGGGGAAUUUUGGACAAUGGGGGAAACCCGCAUCCAGCCAUGCCGCGUGAGUGAAGAAGGCCUUCGGGUUGUAAAGCUCUUUCAGCCGGAACGAAACGGUCACGGUUAAUACCCGUGACUACUGACGGUACCGGAAGAAGAAG